rnacentral:SRP_RNA from 1 species
UCGUGCCAAGCGGGGAGCUAGCGGUGCCCUGAACCUGCAAUCCGCUCAGCAGGGCCGGAAUCCUCGUGGAGGUUUCGCAGUUCGAACCGCUGGCAUUCGAUGCUCGGUGUUGAGAGUCGGGUUCUUGCGCGGCAGAGUCCCGUGAACCCCGUCAGGUCCGGAAGGAAGCAGCGCUAAGCGGAGUGCUCCGAGUGCCGCAGGGUGAUCUGAUUAGAGCCGAGGCGGGUGCCAAGUACGGGCUACAUUCCGAAUUCGA